GUCUACAAUUAUACCACCCUGAAUAGGCCAGACCUCUUCUGGUUUCAGAAACUAAGCAGGAUUGAGUCUAGUUAGUGCUUAGAUGGGAAACAAAACACUAAAUAUAAAUC
rnacentral:rRNA from 1 species